rnacentral:rRNA from 1 species
UACAGAGGGUGCGAGCGUUAAUCGGAAUUACUGGGCGUAAAAGCGUGCGCAGACGGUUGCGUAAGUCAGAUGUGAAAGCCCCGGGCUCAACCUGGGAAUUGCAUUUGAGACUGCGUAGCUAGGGUGCGGAAGAGGGAAGCGGAAUUUCCGGUGUAGCGGUGAAAUGCGUAGAUAUCGGAAGGAACACCAGUGGCGAAAGCGGCUUCCUGGUCCAGCACCGACGUUCAGGCACGAAAGCGUGGGGAGCAAACAGGG